rnacentral:rRNA from 1 species
AAAUCAUCGAAUCUUUGAACGCACAUUGCGCCCAUUAGUAUUCUAGUGGGCAUGCCUGUUCGAGCGUCAUUU